GGAGGGAUGGCCGAGUGGCUUAAGGCAGCGGUCUUGAAAACCGCCGAUGGGAAACCAUCCCAGAGUUCGAAUCUCUGUUCCUCCGCCA
rnacentral:tRNA from 12 species